AUUGAACGCUGGCGGCAGGCCUACCACAUGCAAGUCGAACGAGUGGCGGACGGGUGAGUAAUGUCUGGGAAACUGCCUGAUGGAGGGGGAUAACUACUGGAAACGGUAGCUAAUACCGCAUACCAUCAGAUGUGCCCAGAUGGGUUUAGCUAGUUGGUGGGGUAACGGCUCACCAAGGCGACGAUCCCUAGCUGGUCUGAGCGGCUGACCAGCCCCACUGGAACUGAGACAGGGUCCCGACUCGUACGGUAGGCAGCAGUGGGUAAUAUUGCAGAAUGGGCGGAAGCCUGAUGCAGGCAUGCCGCGUGUAUGAAGAGGGCCUUCGGGUUGUAAAGUACUGUCGGCGGGGAGGCGUUACCCGCAGAAGAAGCACCGGCUGACUCCGUGCCAGCAGCCGCGGUAAUUC
rnacentral:rRNA from 1 species